CCUGAGAGGGUGACCCGGCCACACUGGGACUGAGACACGGCCCAGACUCCSACGGAGGCAGCAGUGGGGAAUAUUGCACAAUGGGCGCAAGCCUGAUGCAGCGACGCCGCGUGAGGGAUGACGGCUUCGGGUUGUAAACCUCUNUCAGUAGGGAAGAAGCGAAAGUGACGGUACCUGCAGAAGAAGCACCGGCUAACUACGUGCCAGCAGCCGCGGUAAUACGUAGGGUGCGAGCGUUAUCCGGAAUUAUUGGGCGUAAAGAGCUCGUAGGCGGUSUGUCGCGUCUGUCGUGAAAGUCCGGGGCUUAACCCCGGAUCUGCGGUGGGUACGGGCAGACUAGAGUGCAGUAGGGGAGACUGGAAUUCCUGGUGUAGCGGUGGAAUGCGCAGAUAUCAGGAGGAACACCGAUGGCGAAGGCAGGUMUCUGGGCUGUAACUGACGCUGAGGAGCGAAAGCAUGGGGAGCGAACAGGAUUAGAUACCCUGGUAGUCCAUGCCGUAAACGUUGGGCACUAGGUGUGGGGAMCAUUCCACGGUUUCCGCGCCGCAGUAACGCAUUAAGUGCCCCGC
rnacentral:rRNA from 1 species